UACCAGCACCCCGAGUGGUCGGGACGAUUAUUGGGCCUAAAGCAUCCGUAGCCGGGCUUACAAGUCCUCCGUUAAAUCCAGCUGCUUAACAGAUGGGCUGCGGAGGAUACUAUAAGACUAGGAGGCAGGAGAGGCAAGCGGUACUCAGUGGGUAGGGGUAAAAUCCGUUGAUCCAUUGAAGACCACCAGUGGCGAAGGCGGCUUGCCAGAAUGCGCUCGACGGUGAGGGAUGAAAGCUGGGGGAGCAAACCGG
rnacentral:rRNA from 1 species